rnacentral:tRNA from 1 species
UAACAUCAACCAGUGGUUAUGGCGUGUGACUCAAGCGAAAGCUUUCCAGUGUAAACUGGCGCAUUCUCAUGGGCUUUGCCCGCGUGGGUUCGAAUCCCACACUUGUCAA